UUCUUCAAUAAAUCUUAUUGCAACGUGUGC
rnacentral:sRNA from 1 species